CCUACGGGAGGCAGUAGUGGGGAAUAUUGGGCAAUGGGCGCAAGCCUGACCCAGUAACGCCGCGUGAAGGAAGAAGGCUUUCGGGUUGUAAACUUCUUUUCUCAGGGACGAAGAAAGUGACGGUACCUGAGGAAUAAGCCACGGCUAACUACGUGCCAGCAGCCGCGGUAAUACGUAGGUGGCAAGCGUUAUCCGGAUUUAUUGGGUGUAAAGGGCGUGUAGGCGGGAGCGCAAGUCAGAUGUGAAAACUCAGGGCUCAACCCUGAGCCUGCAUUUGAAACUGUGUUUCUUGAGUGCUGGGGAGGCAAGCGGAAUGCCGGGUGUAGCGGUGAAAUGCGUAGAUAUACGGAGGAACACCAGUGGCGAAGGCGGAUUGCUGGACAGUAACUGACGCUGAGGCGCGAAAGCGUGGGGAGCAAACAGGAUUAGAUACCCGGGUAGUC
rnacentral:rRNA from 1 species